GACGAACGCUGGCGGCGUGCUUAACACAUGCAAGUCGAACGGAAAGGCCCUGCUUGCAGGGUACUCGAGUGGCGAACGGGUGAGUAACACGUGGGUGAUCUGCCCUGCACUUCGGGAUAAGCCUGGGAAACUGGGUCUAAUACCGGAUAGGAGCCAUUUUUAGUGUGAUGGUUGGAAAGUUUUUUCGGUGUAGGAUGAGCUCGCGGCCUAUCAGCUUGUUGGUGGGGUAAUAGCCUACCAAGGCGGCGACGGGUAGCCGGCCUGAGAGGGUGGACGGCCACAUUGGGACUGAGAUACGGCCCAGACUCCUACGGGAGGCAGCAGUGGGGAAUAUUGCACAAUGGGCGCAAGCCUGAUGCAGCGACGCCGCGUGGGGGAUGACGGCCUUCGGGUUGUAAACUCCUUUCGCUAGGGACGAAGCUUUUUGUGACGGUACCUAGAUAAGAAGCACCGGCUAACUACGUG
rnacentral:rRNA from 1 species